AGUUGCGGGCAUAGCGGAAAGCUUAAAAAAAUUAGACCACCAAUCCUCUUAUCCGGUUAUCCCAUCCCCUUCUCCUGGCGACGGGCGGCUGGCACUUUCCUUGCGGCGGUGCGGCUAACUCCGGUGGCCGGAUGGAGAGGCAAAUCCAGGCUCACCGUCACCGGAUGCCGCCGCUCCCCUAGCCCCAUCUUCCCCUGCUGGUCUUUGAGGGAGCAGCCAGCACAACGGCCACCUCGUCGCUCUUGCUUGACGCCUUUCCCUGGUCGACGACUAGCCGGUGCGGGACGACACGGCAAGCCAGUGGGUAGUACCUCGCUGGUCCCUGUUCGACGCCGUACUAGUCGAUAUCCCAAUGCAGCCCAUCCGCACCUCCUCGCUUGACGACUACUUCUUGGUAAUUCAGCCAACUAUCUGCACUUGUAAUUAAGAAGACCAAGAAGUGUACAUGGAUCUGAAUGGAGAAGAGGAUGAGGAUUGCGAAUGACUUGUGCAUCUUUCAUGAUCAGAACCGGAUCUGUUUAUUUUUGCGUGAUGGUCGUGGUCUCACUUGUAUGAUUGCAUCUUCCAUGGUCAGAACUAGAUCUGUUUAUUUUUGCGUUAUGGUCCUGGUCCGACUUAUAUGGUUGGUUGGUAGUCUUUUUUUUAUUACAUGGUUGAAUAUUGUACAAUGGACUAAUUGUAGUGUAUAUUUGUUCUGUCAUACUGAUAGUUUUUGUUUGCCUGGUUGAAUAUUGUCCAGAUGGACUAGUUACAGUCUAUAUGCUUAUAUAAA